AGUGAACGCUGGCGGUAGGCCUAACACAUGCAAGUCGAACGGCAGCACAGUAAGAGCUUGCUCUUACGGGUGGCGAGUGGCGGACGGGUGAGGAAUACAUCGGAAUCUACUUUUUCGUGGGGGAUAACGUAGGGAAACUUACGCUAAUACCGCAUACGACCUACGGGUGAAAGCAGGGGAUCUUCGGACCUUGCGCGAUUGAAUGGGCCGAUGUCGGAUUAGCUAGUUGGCGGGGUAAAGGCCCACCAAGGCGACGAUCCGUAGCUGGUCUGAGAGGAUGAUCAGCCACACUGGAACUGAGACACAGUCCAGACUCCUACGGGAGGCAGCAGUGGGGAAUAUUGGACAAUGGGCGCAAGCCUGAUCCAGCCAUACCGCGUGGGUGAAGAAGGCCUUCGGGUUGUAAAGCCCUUUUGUUGGGAAAGAAAAGCAGCAGGUUAAUACCCCGCUGUUCUGACGGUACCCAAAGAAUAAGCACCGGCUAACUUCGUG
rnacentral:rRNA from 1 species